rnacentral:rRNA from 1 species
UAGGGAAUAUUGGACAAUGGGUGAGAGCCUGAUCCAGCCAUGCCGCGUGCAGGAAGAAGGCGUUAUGCGUUGUAAACUGCUUUUGCCAGGGGAUAAAAAGACCGUGCGCGGUUAAUUGAAGGUACCUGGUGAAUAAGCCACGGCUAACUACGUGCCAGCAGCCGCGGUAAUACGUAGGUGGCAAGCGUUGUCCGGAUUUAUUGGGUUUAAAGGGUGCGUAGGUGGCCCUGUAAGUCAGUGGUGAAAUAUCUCAGCUUAACUGAGAGGGUGCCAUUGAUACUGCAGGGCUUGAGUACAGAUGAGGUAGGCGGAAUUGACGGUGUAGCGGUGAAAUGCAUAGAUAUCGUCAAGAACACUGAUAGCGAAGGCAGCUUACCAAGCUGUAACUGACACUGAGGCACGAAAGUGUGGGGAUCAAACAGGAUUAGAUACCCUCGUAGUCCCUGAGCGGGCUGGCAAGGCGCAU